AAUUAAAGUGGUACGCGAGCUGGGUUCAGAACGUCGUGAGACAGUUUGGUCCCUAUCUGCCGUGGGUGUUGGAAACUUGAGAGGUACUUGAGAGGAUUAUCUGUCCUUGUCCCUAGUACGAGAGGACCGGGAUGAACAUACCUCUGGUGGACCUGUUGUGGCGCCAGCCGCAUUGCAGGGUAGCUAUGUACGGAAGGGAUAACCGCUGAAAGCAUCUAAGCGGGAAACUAACCUCAAAACCAGGUAUCCCUGAGAGCCGUGCAAGACCAGCACGUCGAUAGGCCGGG
rnacentral:rRNA from 1 species